UUCCUGGUGAUCUGGUGGUUAGGAUUCAGCACUUGCAUUGCUGUAGCCCAGGUUCAAUCCCAGGUCUGGGAA
rnacentral:tRNA from 1 species